CCUACGGGAGGCAGCAGUGAGGAAUAUUGGUCAAUGGACGAGAGUCUGAACCAGCCAAGUAGCGUGAAGGAUGACUGCCCUAUGGGUUGUAAACUUCUUUUAUAUGGGAAUAAAACGUUCCACGUGUGGGAUUUUGUAUGUACCCUAUGAAUAAGGAUCGGCUAACUCCGUGCCAGCAGCCGCGGUAAUACGGCGGAUCCGAGCGUUAUCCGGAUUUAUUGGGUUUAAAGGGAGCGUAGGUGGAUUGUUAAGUCCGGUGUGAAAGUUUGCGGCUCAACCUUAAAAUUGCAGUUGAAACUGGCAGUCUUGAGUACAGUAGAGGUGUGCGGAAUUCGUGGUGUAGCGGUGAAAUGCUUAGAUAUCACGAAGAACUCCGAUUGCGAAGGCAGUUCACUGGACUGCAACUGACACUGAGGCUCGAAAGUGUGGGUAUCAAACAGGAUUAGAUACCCUUGUAGUC
rnacentral:rRNA from 1 species